rnacentral:lncRNA from 1 species
CAUGUUUGGGGAGACCCGGGCCCCUCUGGUGAUGCGUCCUGCUGCUGUGGUUCCCCGUGCACUGUCCCCCAUCCCCUCACCAUUCUCCACUGCCCCACAAGUACUUUCCACACCAAUCAUCCCCAGCUUGCCCCAGUGUGUCCCGGUCACGGCUACACCCUUCGCUGGGCUCUUCUUCCUUGUUCCCGCCAUUCAUGACUUCAAGAUUCUGAGUGCUAGGUUUUCAUAACCGAGUGAAUUGGCAUGGGAGAAAAUUUGCCUCUCUCGGAUUUUAAGCACGGUGCACCAAGCUGCCCCUGCAACAUCAACUCCAAGGUGAUUUCAGUACAGAAGCACUCAUGAAAGGGAGAAUCAGAUCCGUGCUCAAAACUUUCUCCAGUCCAAGGGCUGCAUUCUCUUCUGGGAAACUUUCUGAGGACAACAUGCCAGCAGUAGGCGGAGCAACAGAUGUAAAUUUAGGCUGGUUUCUGCACACACAAACUCUGUCCCCCACCAAGAAAUCGAAUGGUCAUUGUCGGAGUUCAAAGACUCAUUCCAUCCUGGCCUGGCAGAAACAAUUGCAACUGCAAAGGAGAGCCAGUGUUGCCUAAUGAAAGUUCUGCAGCCCAGGUAGAGAGGUCUGGAGAGCUUGGGGUUCUCCACCCCAUAGUAGAGCAUAGAGGAGACCAGCUGGGGAGGUGGGAAUCCCAAGUGGAAUUUCCAUAUUUCUGUUAUCAAGGUCAUUUAAGUACAGUACAUCCAUUGAAGCUGAGUAUUUUAUAACUCAGGAAAGACCCCCCAAAAAGGGAAGGCUUUAAAAGGGGAUUGUUGUUGUUUAGUUGUGUCUGACUCUUCCUGCCCCCCUGAACCAGAGCAUGCCAGGCACUCCUGUCUUCCACUGCCUCCCGCAGUUUGGUCAAACUCAUGCUGGUAGCUUCGAGAACACUGUCCCGCCAUCUCGUCCUCCGUCGUCCCCUUAUCCUUGUGCCCUCCAUCUUUCCCAACAUCAGGGUCUUUUCCAGGGAGUCUUCUCUUCUCAUGAGGUGGCCAAAGUCUUGGAGCCUCAGCUUCAGGAUCUGUCCUUCCAGUGUGCACUCAGGGCUGAUUUCCUUCAGAAUGGAGAGGUUUGAUCUUCUUGCAGUCCAUGGGACUCUCAAGGGUCUCCUCCAAGACCACCCAAAAGCUAUAGCCCAAAAUAUCAAUGGCUGCUAGUGACAAUGAGCAUAUUCUGCCUCCAUCGUCAGAGGCAGUAUGCCUCUGAAGAUCAUUUGCUGGGGGUCCUAAGAGAGGAGAGUUGUUGCUGUAUUCAAGUCCUGCAUGCGGGCUUCCCAUAGACGUCUGGGUGGCCAUAGCAAGAAUAGGAUGCUGGACUAGAUGGGCCUUUGGCUUGAUCCAGCUGGACUCUUCCAAUAUUCUUUUUUAUAAUAAUAUUUUAUUAAUUUCCCAAAGAUAACAAAAAUAAAAACAACAAUACAAAAACAAAACAGAACAGACUGACUUCCCUCUAGUCUCUUCCUUAGUUCCAUUAUUUAUCAAUGUACCACAUGUCCAUUGCUAAGUUUAAACUCAUUUGUAUUCCCUAUGAUCCAUUCAUAACAAAUCUACAAGUAAUUUCAAAACCC